GACGAACGCUGGCGGCGUGCUUAACACAUGCAAGUCGAACGGAAAGGCCCUGCUUUUGUGGGGUGCUCGAGUGGCGAACGGGUGAGUAACACGUGAGUAACCUGCCCUUGACUUUGGGAUAACUUCAGGAAAAUGGGGCUAAUACCGGAUAGGAGCUCCUGCUGCAUGGUGGGGGUUGGAAAGUUUCGGCGGUUGGGGAUGGACUCGCGGCUUAUCAGCUUGUUGGGGGGGUAGUGGCUUACCAAGGCUUUGACGGGUAGCCGGCCUGAGAGGGUGACCGGCCACAUUGGGACUGAGAUACGGCCCAGACUCCUACGGGAGGCAGCAGUGGGGAAUAUUGCGCAAUGGGCGGAAGCCUGAUGCAGCAACGCCGCGUGCGGGAUGACGGCCUUCGGGUUGUAAACCGCUUUCGCCUGUGACGAAGCGUGAGUGACGGUAAUGGGUAAAGAAGCACCGGCUAACUACGUG
rnacentral:rRNA from 1 species